CUCGGCGAGACGCGCGCGCGCGCCCGAGCUCGGGCGCUCCCGGGCGGCCGCGGUACCACGUCGCCGCACCGCCUCCUCCUGCCACCGCUCUGCGCUCCUCCCGCUCCCUUUCUCCCCGCCCCUUCUCCGACCCGCCCGGAGCGCCGCCGACCCCCGAGCGCUGCAGCAGGGUAGGUGGGGAGGAUGACAGUCGCAAGGGAAGAGGAAGGGCGCCCGGGGAGCACGCGGAUUGGGAGCCGCCGCCGGAGUGACCGGGAUUGAGGAGCGGUGGGUCCCUCUCCACCACCCGCUGCGGCAGACACUAUCGGGAGGGACGCGGGGGAGAGGGUCGCUCCGGGGAGAGAGGGCUGGGUGAGUGCGGAUCCCGCGAGCCCCCCGCCCCCGGCCGAGCUCCCUUCCUGGUGUAACCGCGCUCGCGCCCCCUCCUCCACGACGGGAUAGUUACUGGAGAAGACGCGCGGCCACUGAGCUGGAGCGGAAAGGGGUCGUAGACUUUGCUGGGAGCAAAGGGGGAAGGUGGGGUGUUGGGGAAGAGGGAGGAAAAGAGAGACGGGAAAUGGGGGGAGACCAUUGGGAGGGUUGCAAAGGAACGUCUCGGGAAUCCAAGUGUGGCUCCAGCCCAACCUCCCCACCUGCCGGAAAAAUGAGCUGCAUCCCAGAAAUGCGGACAAGGAAAGAGAGAUGGCUCAAAGGAGUCCCGGCCCGGAUACGAUCCUCACCCUAGGGUCUGUUGCAGUAACAUACAGCAAAUGCCCCUCGAGACGGAAUAGUGCCGAAGACCUUGACUGGUUCCUAACUCUAAGAAGCAAUUCGGAAGAAGUUCCAGGCGGUCUUUUGGGAAAUCGGAAUUAGUAUUAUACAUCAUAAACCAUUAAGGUGUGACCUCUGGGUAAGGAUAGAACGAGUGACUGGAAACUCUUUGAGAGCGCUACCUGAGAACGUGUGCCCAUUGGUUGCAUAUCCCACCUCCUCCUCGAAGCAUUUUCAGAGGUGCUGGCGAGCGGGUACCAGUAUCUCAUGGUAGAAGAAUGAACAGCUCAGAACUCUGUGUAAAUGUCUAUGGGGUGCUUUUUUGUUUGUUUGCUUCCAGGCUUCAGAAAGAGUUGAGAUCGGGAAAACUUUCCAGCACCACCCCUGUAACCUGGAACCCAAAACAAAUGUGCCUGUUUCCUAAAUUCCCCAGAUGAUACUUCGUAUGCUUACGUUUGAGAACCUUUUGCAUAGGGUUUCUCUGGUUACCCACCUCUCACUUUUCUCAAAAAUAAGCUAGCUAGUUGACAGCCUAUAAUCCAGUUUUGGAGGGGUGAGAAGUUACUUUUUCUUGCAAUAAACUACCACCCAUUGAGAUACGCUUGGCCUUGAGAGGGAUGGAAGCUAUAUAUUUGGUUCCUGGGGACCCACAGAGGCCAAAGCGUCAGGAGAUCCUCUCCAUUCAGUACCACAGAACUAUGAUACUGGCUAACAAGGAUUUCUGCCCUUCGGAUGAUAGAACCACUCCCCCCCCCCCAAAAGUGGCCUCCACCUGCCCAAAGCACACAGCACACUAACCACCAGUCUAGUAGGUUUAAAAGGUCUGCCAUUCCCUACUAUCAGGAAAGGACAUACAAGCUUUACCUAAACCUAUUCCUGCCAUAUUGCAAAUCUUGCUAUGUAUAAAAAGAACAGUCCCUACAGAUUCCUGGGUAAGUCAGAGAAAAGGUCUGCCUUAAGCAAAGGUGACACAAUCCAGAAAAGGACUGGAAAUUAGAUCCAGUUAGAUCCAAAUGAUUGAGUUGAUCUCUAAGCAGGAUUUAUCUUUGAAAUAAAAAUCAACAGGGCGCCUGGGUGGCUCAGUGGGUUAAGCCGCUGCCUUUGGCUCAGGUCAUGAUCUCAGGGUUCUGGGAUCGAGUCCCGCAUGGGGCUCUCUGCUCAGCAGGGAGCCUGCUUUUCUCUCUCUCUCUCUCUCUCUCUCUGCCUCUCCAUCUACUUGUGAUCUCUGUCAAAAAAAAAAAAAAAAUAAAAAUCAACAGAGAAGGAAAAGUUCAGAUAACUCAUCAGUUAUGCGAGAGCUGGGGAGGGUCUAGUUGAAGUCCAAUUUCCUAUGUCAAAAGUAAGUUCUAGGGGUAUUGAUGAAUUACACACGGUAACAGAAGAAAACGGUAUUUGUUAAACCUCUAACUAGAAGUAUUUCUCAACAUCAAAGCAAGAGAAGGAAGUGAUGUGGAUACGACUGACCUGACCAGUAACCAAAGAAAUAGAUAUUAAAACAAAUUAAUGAUAAAGGUAUGAAGAUAAGGGGCACUGGCUUCCUCAGUCAUUGCAGGUGUCGUUUUGAAAGGAUACCAUCCAUUGGGAAAGCAUUUUGGCUCUGUGUCCCAGGUCAGGGUGUGCCUACAUUUUGACUCAGCAGUCCCACUUCUGGGAAUCUAGCCAAAGAAAUACUCCAAAAUGUGGAAAAAGUUACAUACUGCAAUUUGUACAUCAUACCAUUAUUUUUAUUGAAGAUUUGGCUGCAGCUUAAAGAUCCUGGAGCAGGAACUAUACAUGCAGUCACCUGGAUGGGGACCACAAUACCGCCUCAUUUUUCUCUGCCUGUGCACUGAGGCAUUGCUUUCACUGCCUGAAGCACUCUCCAUGCCCUUUGUCUACGAGCUGAGCUGACUCCUCUUAUUUAUCCUCAACACGUUUUUAAAACUCCAGUAUAGUUAACAUACAGUGUUAUAUUAGCUUCAGGUGUAUAAUAAGUGAUUCAACAGCUCUACGCAUGAUUCAGUGCUCAUCACCGAAAGAGGAAGGAAGCCUAAAUGCUGAGAGAAACAGCCGUCUCGGAUAGCGUGGGCCACGUGAUUGGUUGUGCAUUUUGUCCUCUGAAAGGCUUCCUACCCUGCUAAAGGCUUUUCUACUUCUGGAGUUCUUCAAGUGGACAUUGUGUUUGAGGUUUAUGAGAUUUUUUUUAGAUAGAAUCCUUCCAUCUCAUCCCAUUUUGGCUUUAGCUUGGUGGAAAUGGGCUCCUCACAGUUGCAAAUCAAAGAACCUUGAUUAGACAAUGGGUCAUCCCACCUCAAAUCCAUUGUGAAAUGAGGUCAACUUAAAAUUAUUUUUAAUGAGCUGUAAUAGAAAAUUAAAGCGUAUUGUCAUUACACUUAA